CCUACGGGUGGCUGCAGUGGGGAAUAUUGCACAAUGGGCGCAAGCCUGACCCAGCAACGCCGCGUGAGUGAAGAAGGCUUUCGGGUUGUAAACUUCUUUUCUCAGGGACGAAAAAGGUGACGGUACCUGAGGAAUAAGCCACGGAUAACUACGUGCCAGCAGCAGCGGUAAUACGUAGGUGGCAAGCGUUAUCCGGAUUUAUUGGGUGUAAAGGGCGUGUAGGCGGGAGCGCAAGUCAGAUGUGAAAACCCAGGGCUCAACCCUGAGCCUGCAUUUGAAACUGUGUUUCUUGAGUGCUGGAGAGGCAAGUGGAAUUCCGGGUGUAGCGGUGAAAUGCGUAGAUAUACGGAGGAACACCAGUGGCGAAGGCGGAUUGCUGGACAGUAACUGACGCUGAGGCGCGAAAGCGUGGGGAGCAAACAGGAUUAGAUACCCUUGUAGUC
rnacentral:rRNA from 1 species